rnacentral:rRNA from 1 species
UACGAAGGGGGCUAGCGUUGCUCGGAAUUACUGGGCGUAAAGCGCACGUAGGCGGCUUGUUAAGUCGGGGGUGAAAUCCUGGAGCUCAACUCCAGAACUGCCUUCGAUACUGGCGAGCUCGAGUUCGGGAGAGGUGAGUGGAACUGCGAGUGUAGAGGUGAAAUUCGUAGAUAUCGGGAGGAACACCAGUGGCGAAGGCGGCUUCCUGGCCUGUUCUUGACGCUGAGGCGCGAAAGCUAGGGGAGCAAACGGG